rnacentral:rRNA from 1 species
AUACGGAGGGUGCAAACGUUGCUCGGAAUCAUUGGGCGUAAAGCGCACGUAGGCGGCUUGCCAAGUUGGGUGUGAAAGCCCUGGGCCCAACCCAGGAAGUGCAUUCAAAACUGGCAGGCUCGAGUCCCGGAGGGGGUUGGAGAAUUCCCGGUGUAGAGGUGAAAUUCGUAGAUAUCGGGAGGAAUACCCGUGGCGAAGGCGCCAACCUGGCCGUUGACUGACGCUGAGGUGCGAAAGCGUGGGGAGCAAACAGGAUUAGAAACCCCGGUAGUCC